rnacentral:tRNA from 1 species
GCGGCCAUGGCGGAAUCGGUAGACGCGCCAGUUUCAGGAGCUGGUAGUUAACAGCUGUGUGAGUUCAAGUCUCACUGGCCGCACCA